UAUUCGACUUCAUAAAGGCGAUCAACUUCGUUGUUUAUGACGUCGAUAUUCGACGUCAUAAACACGAUCAACUUUGGUGCUUAUGACGUCGAUAUUCGACGUCAUAAACACGAUCAACUUUGGUGUUUAUGACGUCGAUAUUCGACGUCAUAAACACGAUCAACUUAGGUGUUUAUGACGGCGAUAUACGACGUCAUAAACGCGAUCAACUUUGGUGUUUAUAACGUCGAUA
rnacentral:miRNA from 1 species